UGGGGAAUAUUGCACAAUGGGCGCAAGCCUGAUGCAGCCAUGCCGCGUGUGUGAAGAAGGCCUUCGGGUUGUAAAGCACUUUCAGCGGGGAGGAAGGCGUUAAGGUUAAUAACCUUGGCGAUUGACGUUACCCGCAGAAGAAGCACCGGCUAACUCCGUGCCAGCAGCCGCGGUAAUACGGAGGGUGCAAGCGUUAAUCGGAAUUACUGGGCGUAAAGCGCACGCAGGCGGUCUGUCAAGUCGGAUGUGAAAUCCCCGGGAUCAACCUGGGAACUGCAUUCGAAACUGGCAGGCUAGAGUCUUGUAGAGGGGGGUAGAAUUCCAGGUGUAGCGGUGAAAUGCGUAGAGAUCUGGAGGAAUACCGGUGGCGAAGGCGGCCCCCUGGACAAAGACUGACGCUCAGGUGCGAAAGCGUGGGGAGCAAACAGG
rnacentral:rRNA from 1 species